rnacentral:rRNA from 1 species
CCCGAAGUAUCCUGAAUCUUUCGCAUUGUUAAUCGUACAAGUGCAUAUAAUAAACACAAAAAUCAAUGAUAAUUAUGCCAUUAUAUAAUUCCGAAAAAUUAACGCACUGUAGUCAUAUAAAUCUAUCAGCACUUUAUCAAAUUAAUGACAUUUAUUCUAUGUUAAAAUGCAAGCAUAAUAAUUUGAAUAAACUAUAAGCCAUAUUUUAUGAUAAAUUUAGUUAUGUUAAUAGAUUACAAUGUCCUUAUAUGGAAAAAAUGCACACUAUUAUCAUAAUAUUGUUUAAAUACUACAAGUCUAAUGAUGAAUUUUCCAUAACGGAUAUUCAGGUUCAUCGGGC